AGAGACGUGGCCAUGAAAGCAUUGAAUGCCACUGGUCAAAACCAUAUUAGUAUGGAUUCUCUGUAUAAGGUUUUAUCCAUGAAUCCAGUAUGUAAUUGGAUCACCGUUUAUACAACCGUCAUGAGUGCCGGCACUCCUGAGAAGUACACAACAGUUGUCAGAGAUAUGUGUGUGUGAUGGAAUGAGCCGUUUUCUUGAUCAACUCAGCCAGAAUUUUCACCCAGCUUAGUUCUGAACUGCCCAA